rnacentral:miRNA from 1 species
UCCCUUCCGGUCAUCGAGACUGUACAGUCUCUCGAUGACCGGAAGGAAUCCCUUCCGGCCAUCAAGAUUGUAUGGUUUCGAUGACCGGAAGGAA